AGUGCAUAAAGAAAAUGUGGGUCGGUAGAGGAAGGAGGAGGAGGUCGGGUUGUAGAAGCUGGAGUGGCCGGCAGCGCACUCAUCGGUGCUCGCGGGCUUUGUCGGUCCGUGCCUCGUCUCUCCCUGGAAAGGGAGGGAGGCUUCGACGUCGACAGGGAGCCGCUGCCGCCGUAGUUCCGAGCUUGAAGUCGCUAGGACUUCUCUCAAACUUGUGUGCUGAGGAGACAGAUGUGGGCCUCAUCUCCUAGGGUGAACUCAGCAGAUCGGCCCAUGAAAACUUCUGUAUUGAGACAAGGGAAAGGAUCUGUUAGAAAGCAGCACUUCUUAUCUUGGGCUUGGCAGCAAGGAAGAGGACAGGUAUUGGAAAUCCUGCAUUCUGAAAAGCAGACUGAAAGGUGACAAAGAAGCUGAAGAUGGGUGGUGGAGAGAGGUAUAGCAUUCCAGCGCCUCAAUCUGGAAAUGUUAGUAAGAACCAACAACAGCUUAACAGACAGAAGACCAAGGAUCAGAAUUCCCAGAUGAAGAUUGUUCAUAAGAAAAAAUGAAAGAGGACAUGGUUAUAACGCAUCAGCAGCUGCUUGGCAGGCCACGCAAAACGGCGGAAAGAACAAAAAUUUUCCAAAUAAUCAAAGUUGGAACUCUAGCUUAUCAGGUCCCAGCUUACUUUUCAAAUCUCAAGCUAUUCAGAACUAUGCUGGUGCCGAGCUUAGCGAGCCGCCAUCAUCAAGUGUUCUUCCCAAACCACCAAGCCACUGGGUCCCUGUGUCCUUUAAUCCUUCAGAGAAGGAAAUAACGAUAUUUCAACUUAGAGCCUUACUUAAAGUACAGGUAUAA